UGGUCUGAGAGGAUGAUCAGUCACACUGGAACUGAGACACGGUCCAGACUCCUACGGGAGGCAGCAGUAGGGAAUAUUGCGCAAUGGGGGAAACCCUGACGCAGCAACGCCGCGUGGAGGAUGACACUUUUCGGAGCGUAAACUCCUUUUCUUAGGGAAGAAUUCUGACGGUACCUAAGGAAUAAGCACCGGCUAACUCCGUGCCAGCAGCCGCGGUAAUACGGAGGGUGCAAGCGUUACUCGGAAUCACUGGGCGUAAAGGGCGCGUAGGCGGAUUAUCAAGUCUCUUGUGAAAUCUAAUGGCUUAACCAUUAAACUGCUUGGGAAACUGAUAGUCUAGAGUGAGGGAGAGGCAGAUGGAAUUGGUGGUGUAGGGGUAAAAUCCGUAGAUAUCACCAAGAAUACCCAUUGCGAAGGCGAUCUGCUGGAACUCAACUGACGCUAAGGCGCGAAAGCGUGGGGAGCAAACAGGAUUAGAUACCCUGGUAGUCCACGCCCUAAACGAUGUACACUAGUUGUUGGGGUGCUAGUCAUCUCAGUAAUGCAGCUAACGCAUUAAGUGUACCGCCUGGGGAGUACGGUCGCAAGAUUAAAACUCAAAGGAAUAGACGGGGACCCGCACAAGCGGUGGAGCAUGUGGUUUAAUUCGAAGAUACGCGAAGAACCUUACCUGGGCUUGAUAUCCUAAGAACCUCUUAGAGAUAAGAGGGUGCUAGCUUGCUAGAACUUAGAGACAGGUGCUGCACGGCUGUCGUCAGCUCGUGUCGUGAGAUGUUGGGUUAAGUCCCGCAACGAGCGCAACCCACGUAUUUAGUUGCUAACGGUUCGGCCGAGCACUCUAAAUAGACUGCCUUCGUAAGGAGGAGGAAGGUGUGGACGACGUCAAGUCAUCAUGGCCCUUAUGCCCAGGGCGACACACGUGCUACAAUGGCAUAUACAAUGAGACGCAAUACCGCGAGGUGGAGCAAAUCUAUAAAAUAUGUCCCAGUUCGGAUUGUUCUCUGCAACUCGAGAGCAUGAAGCCGGAAUCGCUAGUAAUCGUAGAUCAGCCAUGCUACGGUGAAUACGUUCCCGGGUCUUGUACUCACCGCCCGUCACACCAUGGGAGUUGAUUUCACUCGAAGCCGGAAUACUAAACUAGUUACCGUCCACAGUGGAAUCAGCGACUGGGGUGAAGUCGUAACAAGGUAACCGUAGGAGAACCUGCGGUUGGAUCACCUCCUUUCUA
rnacentral:rRNA from 1 species